rnacentral:rRNA from 1 species
UACAGAGGUCCCAAGCGUUGUUCGGAUUCACUGGGCGUAAAGGGUGCGUAGGCGGUCGGGUAAGUCUGAUGUGAAAUCUCACAGCUUAACUGUGAAACUGCAUUGGAUACUAUCCGGCUCGAGGAAUGGAGGGGAGACUGGAAUACUUGGUGUAGCAGUGAAAUGCGUGGAUAUCAAGUGGAACACCAGUGGCGAAGGCGGCUCUCUGGGACGGUACUGACGCUGAGACGCGAAAGCGUGGGGAGCGAACAGG